rnacentral:lncRNA from 1 species
AAUCUGCAAGCACAAAGCCCCAAUUCACCCGAAACCCUAAUGUAUGAACUCAAGAUUUGAAAGAAAAACUCGGAUUCGGAGAUCCUCUGCUACGGUUCUCACUUGAUCGAUUCUUUUACUAAGCUAUGUUUGACGCCAAAAGUUGCGACGCCAGCUUUCUAUUCAUUGGGCAGUUUCUCCCCUACACGCCUAUUAUUCCCUAUUUUUCUCUUGUUUUCCCUUACAAGCAAAGUCGAAAACGGGUUUCCCUUCAGAUCUUUUGCCACCCUGUCCACGUUGAAGCGUUGAUAGGCUGGCAGUUGAGCCUCUAUUGGGUUCAUAUCCACGGAGCUAGGUUUUGCAAUGGGUCUUUUUGCGUAACCCGGCCCGCCGCACAUCUAUUGGGUCAGGUACUUCACUGGGAUUCCGAAGUGAGGAUUGAAAUGUUGAAAAUUUUCGGCGAGCUUAUCGGUCGAUAGAAAUUUCGGUAACUUUAAAAAAUAUCGCCGAUAUUUCGUCCUUUAUCGACAUUUUUACCGGUUUUUCGGAAAAUUUCCCGAUAUUUCCUACCAGUCCAGCCCGCGCACAGGAUACAAAAUCUGUCCAAUUUUUUUAAAAAAAUACAUAAGAUGCUAUUUGGUAAUCUGAUCAUGAUUUGCAGGCGAAGGUUGUGUUUUUCAGCCUGGCUCAAAAAUCGUGGAUUUAGGGUUCGUGAAAUUUAAAUCCAAUGGCAUAAAAGCAAAGAGACCCUUAGAACAGAUCCAGAAAACACAGGGAGAAAAAAAAAAAGGCACUUUUUUGGUUUUCCUUCGGGGUUUUGCAUGGAUUUUCUCGGAAAUCAAACGAGGAUGAAUUUUCCCGGAAAUAGAAUGGGGGAUGGAUUUUCUCGGGAAUCAAACAGGGGUUGCAAAAAAAAAUAAUAAUAAUAAUAACAUGAUUAGAUUAGUACCUGCGAGGAUUGAGAGUGGCAGAGGAAAAUAGGGCCUUUUUAGGGAUUCUCUCGUCUGGAGGGCAACUUCAGAAAAGGGCUUCUUGAUGCCCGAGUGAGUGAAGUGGGCGGCCCUUUUGAUUUUUAGAUUUAGUAGGAAUAAAAAUAAAAAAUAAAAAGGAAUUAAAUCAUGAGAACAAUUUUCCUCUCCCUAUAUAAAUAAUUAUUAAUUAUCCAUCUUUGGAUUAAAUCUCGGUUAUUAUCGGUGAUUUUUAUAAAUUAAAAUUAAUUUGAUAAUAAAUUAUUAAUAAUUAUAGUUAUUUAAAUAAAUUAAUGUUAAUAGAAAAAGUUAUUAUCACAUAUUUUUUAAUAAAAUUUUAGAAAUUAAAUCUUAAAUAAAAUAUUUUAUAUAAAUUAAUUUAAUUUUUUAUUUAAAAUGUAUUAAAAUAUGUUUUAAUAAAAAUAUCUUAAAAUUUUUUAAAUAAAUAUUGUUUUCAACAAGAUGAGCUCCCUUCAUCUCACAAUAUGAUGAAAUUACAUCGAUCUUCAUUUUGAUAUCAAAGACUAUUGCAUUGUCAUAUAUAUUAUAUUUAUGUAUAAAUUGUUUUUAUUCAAUAAAAUCAAAUAUUUUUUUUAACUUAAUUCUAACUUUAUACACUUCCAAAAUUCAUAUUUAUUAUUCUUCAAAUUCAAAUAUUGAAUCUAUCAAUAUAUCUCUAUCUACUGAUGUUUUUCUUCUUGAUCAUAUCUAUAUCAAUUACACUUAUAAAAUAACUUUAAAAUGUGUAUUCUUACUUAUUUUAUCAUUUUUUUUGGAGUUUUUUCAAGCAUUCCUAUGAAUUUUAAAUAAUUUUUACUCCACCGAUAUUUGUGAAAAAAUAUCCGUCCAUAUUUCUCAUAUAUUUCCAAUAUAUUCAUAAAAUCGAAGUAUCGAUAUAUCCGUAAUUAUCGAUAUUUUCAUUAUUGUUCCAAAGGGAUCAAAGAACUUUUUGAAAACUGCUAAUGAUUUGGAACGAACGAAUUUGGUUUUAUAUCAACCUGCCGAUCCUACUGGUUUAUAAGAGAAUUACAACUUUACCCUUCAACUUUUUGAAUAUCCCUUAAAAGCUUUCUAUUAAACAACUCUUUCUUCGAACCACUGGUGUAACUUGGAUCGUUUCCAUUAAUAUGAACCAAAUUCAACAUUUUAAUAAAUUUUGAACAAUCGCUUUCAAUACUCAAAUUAAUCUUUGAUUAAAGUUAUUUCAACCCGAACUCAAUUUGAGUUAGAUUUUGCUCAAAAUUCAAAUAAUUUAACCCUAACUCAAACUCGAUUAAUGUUUUUAUAAUAUUUAUAAAACAUAUUAUCUUAUAUAAUAAUAUUAAUUUUCCUUUUAGAUUUUUAAGAAAAAAACAUAUCAAAUUACCCAAGCCAAAAGCAAGGGUAACUUUGUUAAUUUUGCAUAUCCAAGAGAAAGGUAAAACAUGCAAAAAUAGAGAAUAAAAGGCAUUUUAGGGGAAAAACUACCCAAUGAAUAGAAAGUCGAGGUCGCAAUUUUUGGCGUCAAACAUAGCUUAGUAAAAUAAUCAAUCAAGUGAAAACCGUAGCAGAGGAUCUCCGAGUCCGAGUUUUUCUUUUAAAUUUUGAGUUCAUACAUUAGGGUUUUGGGUGAAUUGGGGCUUCGUGCUUGCAGAUUAUUUGGAAUACGCUUGCUGAAUCGAAUGACCACAUUUGCGACUUGUAGGAGGUACGCCGGGAAAAUUGGCACGGUUUCAGGAACCAGGACUACUCUCUACAAAUUCAAAGCGUUUAGUGUGGGGGGGAAAUUGAAUACCACCUCUGCGAUCCAGUUCUUAGCUUAUUUAUCUUCUUUUUCUUCGCCUUUUGGAUUUUUUUUUUUCUAAUGGCAUGAUUUGCUAAACUCCUUACAUCAAAAUGCGAAUCACAGUAAGACCCACAGCUGAAAUAGAAACAAGGGUACCUAUGCAGUAUUUUAUCACAUCAUACUUUGCAGCUUCUAACUGAGCCCUUAGUGCAUGAAUUUCCUGGGAUUAAGAAAAAGAAAACAACCCGAAAAAACUUUAGAAAACAAAAACAAAGAUUGAACCUCAUAGAUAUCCAACUACACUUGUGAUACUCACCCGAUCUAGUUUGUUAGUGAGGCUAGUGGUUUCUGCAUUCUGAUUUGCUAACUCAUCUCGUAUCCUCCUGAUGAUGAAUAGUAAGAAAUGAUACAUUCAGUAACAAAGAUAUCUAUCUAAUUGAAACAUAAUCCUAUCAUAUUCAAGAAACAAUUUAUAUAGUUUGUUUUCCUUACCCCCUUUCAAGAUUUAAAUCUAAACGUUGUCCAACAGUGACUUUGUCAAUUUCAUACCUGUGUUACAAUGCAUGUCAUUGUCCUAUAAAAAAGUAUAAAAAAUAUAUAUCCUUACAUCAUAUAAGGAAAAAAUUGUUGCAAAAUAUCUAUGUAAAACCAGACCUUAGUUCACUACGCAUCUUUUCUAUAUCACUUCGAAGUUUCUCAGUUUCAUGUUGCAAGACAGAAAAAUGAUGUCCCUGCAUUAUUGUUUGUUGAGACAGAGUCAAAAUAUUUUACAUGACACUGCUACUAUAGUUUAAAUGAAAAAGCAAUUAAGAAAAUCUAGUUUUACAAAAUAAAUAAUGCAAAUAAAAGAAAACUGAUGAUUGUUGGCCAUGAUACACCUAAAAAGUAACUAUCCACCGUCCAUUAAAAAAAAAAGAGUUAAAAGGAGUUAUCCAUAAAAUUAAAGUAGAUGCAUGAGGUGUAAGGUUGUUUGACGAAACAACAUAUCAAAAAUUAAAGUAAAUUAAAGUGGAUGCAUGAGGUGAAAAUUGGUUGUCCACCGAAACAACAUAUUAAUAAAAUGUGUCACUAAAGUGAAAGUGCUAUGUGGGUCAAUCACAAGACAAGAAAACCACACGCUAAAUUAUGAAAGCAUUUGUGAGAACUAAGGAUAAAAUAAAUAAAUAAAUAAUUUGAGGAAAUAUAUAAAAGCUGGGUACUGUUGUUAUUUGAAAAGGAACUAGCUUUUUAUAUCAAUGGCUAACAAUAAAACUCAGCAGAAAAAACAAGCUGAUAUCAGCAACUAUGUCAUCGUACAUGACUAUUUACAUAUGCAUUUCUAAAAGUUAAUGAAAGAUCAAAGAUAACUAGAUAACUAGAUAACUAGAUAACUACGAAAACACAGUGGCCACCCUGACUUUGACCACUUUCUACUCAUUAGUGCUUAACCCUGUUGCUUGCUAGUUGCCCAACACUCAAUAACCUUGCUUUUUGCUUUAACAAGUUGUUAUCAGCAACUAUGCCAUGAUACAUGGCUAUAUAUAAGCAUUUUCAAAAAUUGAGGAAGUAGACAUGAACACACAGAGGCAACCCUGACUUCGACUGCUUUCUACUCACUUGUGCUUAACCCUGUUGCCAGUCGGUUGCCUCACACUAAACAACCUUGCUCUUUUCAUUAUCGUUGAAUGGACAAGAAUAACAUUAGAUCAUCACUAGGCAGAAAAACCUAAAUUGAGGUCUUUUAAGUUAGGGAGCAUAUGAGAAAAGAGUAGUUUUGUAAUCUUUUCAACAGUAGAUUUUCAAACUAAAAACAAAGCACUUUAAUGUGUGGACCUCUAUUCCUAAUAGGCGGCAAUUGAUUACAUGAAUUAUGACACACAACAAGUGCACUACUUUAUAAGAUCUGUGUAAAAGCAUUUGUUACAUGCUAAAGGUGCAUUCUCUUAUCAUCAGAAAACAGAAUCUUUACGACAGAAAGAAACUAAAUUUGAACAACAUCAACACAAUUAAUCAGUAUAAUAAUGAAGUCAAAUACCACUGGUUGUAUCUCAAUAACACUAAUUAUUUCUUUCACUACAAAUGUAAUUACAAAUAUUGUGACAAAGAUGCAAGGUUUAUAGAGGUAAUUAAUGUCUUAACGUUUUAUCUUACAAUGCUAUGAUAUCAUCAUCACAAAUCAUCCUAAAAUUUGGUUCAACAGGAAAUACACUAAAAAUGCUAUGCGAAGAUCUGGAACUAAAUAAUUUCCCUAUAACACCAGAAACAAUGCUCAUCCAAUAGAUUUUGAAAGAGGAUACAGAAUACCAUUCCAAAAUAGAUAUACAAUCAUGAAAAAGGUUAUCACUUGCUAAAUAAGCCAGUACCUGAGAGCUUUCAACUUCAGAUUUGAAUUUGGACAAAUUGGAUUCUUGAGUCAUUUCAAUCUGUAGGCAACAUCAAUGCAUGUGAAUUAACAAUACCAGCAAAUGAAAUUUAACAUUGUAAUUAUAAAAGCCUAAAGCUGUUGACAUGUCUUAUAUAUAAACAUGGAGCAUAACAAGCCAUGGACCUACAGGCACCCCAGAAUCAAUUAACCUUAUUUUCUGUAUUUCGCCCUUAGAAACCAAGGACUGAGCCACAUUCUCCAAACUGUCAUUCAAGACUUCAGUUAUGGUAGAUGUUAUGGCCUCAGCAUGUUUUGACGGUAUGCCCUGAGCUUCUAAUUUCCUAACCUGAGACAAGACACCAUGUCAUUAGCGAUUCUCGAAUUCCAUCUGAGAUUAAACUCCAUGCUUAAAGUAAUAGAAAUUACAUUCUUGAAUCAUAUAACUUUUCUUUAGUUGCGAUACUAGAAAAUAAAAUCUACACUGAAAAAUGAGCCUAGUUCUGAUUUCCAUAAUUCUUGGAAAUACAAUUUAAAUAUCAUUUUUUUAUUUUCUUGGAAAACGAAAAUGCAAAUCAAGACUAUAACUAAAAACUGAAACAGCAAAGAAAAUAUGAAUAUGAUUACCAGAGCCAAUGUGUCAACCAGGAAAAAUCGCCCUCCGUUAGACUUCACGAACUGAGAAAACGGCCGAUAAUAAGAUCUUCUGCAAUAUCCAGAAGGCGAAGAAAAAGAAGAUAAAGAAGCUAAGAACUGGAUCGCAGAGGUGGUAUUCGAUUUCCCCUCCACACUAAACGCUUUGAAUUUGUAAAGAGCAGUCCCGAUUCCUGAAACUGUCCCAAUUUUCCCGGCGUACCUACAAGCCGCAAAUGCGGUCAUUCGAUUCAGCAAGCGUAUUCCAAAUAAUCUGCAAGCACAAAGCCCCAAUUCACUCGAAACCCUAAUGUAUGAAGAUUUGAAAGAAAAACUCGGACUCGGAGAUCCUCUGCUAGGUUUUCACUUGAUUGAUUAUUUUACUAAGCUAUGUUUGAUGCUAAAAAUUGCGACACCGGCUUUCUAUUCAUUGGGCAGUUUCUCCCCUAAAACGCCCAUUAUUCUCUAGUUUUAUCUUGUUUUCCCUUACAAGCAAAGUCGAAAACGGGUUUCCCCUCAGAUCUUUUGCCACCCAACAUUGAAGCGUUGAUAGGCUAGUAGUUGAGCCUCUAUUGGGUUCAUAUCCACGGAGCUAGGUUUUGCAAUGGGGCUUUUUGCGUAACCCGGCCCGCCGCACAUCUAUUGGGUUAGGUUAUUCACUGGGAUUCCGAACGGAUCGGAG